rnacentral:misc_RNA from 1 species
AAGUCGUAACAAGGUUUCCGUAGGUGAACCUGCGGAAGGAUCAUUAAUGAAGUCUGGGCGUAAAAACCCUCUCUCUUCUACACACUUGUGAACUUACACUGUUGCUUUGGCAGGUCUCCAGAUGGGUUUCAAACCCAAAUGGUCAGGUUGAAAGACGCCUGCCAAAGACAUUUAUCCACCCUUUUUUAUUGUCUGAUUUUUGUUUUAAACAAAUAUAAAAAAACUUUCAACAAUGGAUCUCUUGGCUCUG